rnacentral:rRNA from 1 species
UACGUAGGGUGCAAGCGUUAAUCGGAAUUACUGGGCGGAAAGCGUGCGCAGGCGGUUUUGUAAGUCUGACGUGAAAUCCCCGGGCUCAACCUGGGAAUUGCGUUGGAGACUGCAAGGCUGGAGUCUGGCAGAGGGGGGUAGAAUUCCACGUGUAGCAGUGAAAUGCGUAGAGAUGUGGAGGAACACCGAUGGCGAAGGCAGCCCCCUGGGUCAAGACUGACGCUCAUGCACGAAAGCGUGGGGAGCAAACAGG